UUUUUUUUUUUUUUUUUUUUUUUUUUAAUUGCUUCAAUACCUCUGCCACUUUGAAAAUUGUAACAGUUAAUUACUUUGAACAUUGCUAAAAGGACAUUUUGUGUAGGGUCAAGUUAUUUUUAUAUGAGUUAAUGUGAAGUUGUAAAUGGGAAUCUAUAGCAAUGAUGUCUGUAUAAAUCUGUCUUAUCUAGAACUUGUGCUGUCAGGGCACUCUUCCUCACGCUGUUGUUACUCAUGCACCAUUCAGACUUGUUAGAGUAGAUGUGGGUUUAGGACUGCCAGGUUUGCCCAGUAUAGUAGUUUUUAUCACUAAAAAGUUGGACUUGGAGUCCUAUAGUAGUUUCAGCGUUAGAUAAAGUUUUUCCACCAUACAUCUUUAGGUGCAUUCAUCUUUAGGUGACUGAAUGUUAAGAAAUCUGUGUGCAUAGUUACUAAGUUUUUAUGAACUGUUGUGUCCUGUUAAUGCAUAUUGCCCUGUGACUCCAGUAUAUCUCACCUGUACUGACCAAACCUAAAUAAACAUUUUUAUUACG
rnacentral:lncRNA from 1 species